ACAUCCAUCGAUGGAAAAUAACUUCCUUAGCCUCUCUUGUGAAGUUAUUUUCCGCAGCCUUCCUUUCAGCCUCGCAAGGACUUUCGACAUCGCAAGGCUUACUUGACAAUACCUUUCAUUCCCGGCAUCUCAUCAGAACCCCCAUUCCCGUUUCCUCCGGCGUCGGUCCUCAGUGGCGAUCACCUCCUCCGGCGACACUAUCUCGUCUUCAUUACAGAAAAGCACAUCGGUAGACCAAGUGCUAGCCUAUUCCUUUUGAACACAAGCAGGGCAGCUUCCCAAGUCAUGAGAUUCCAAGACACUUCUGUCUGCUAUGUUUCUAAUUUACCAACUACAGUCUCCAGUCCAUCCUUCCACCUCUAACCCCGGCCACAAUGCACCAACCAACUUCUUGGCACCUUGGAGAAGUGGCAGCUGCUUUGAACAAAAUUAGUGCAAACAAGCUUGAUGUUAACCAACUACAUGAAGAGAUUUAUGAAGAUAGAAGGCUAUAGCGAAGAAUUUCUGGACUUGGUAUUCUAGCAUUUGGUGCAAAAUGAGAAGCUAGGAAAAGCAUUUAUGGCGAAGAGUCAAAGACUUCGUUUGAUUUCUCUUGAGAGGUUCAAGAAAGAUUGGGGCGUCGAAUAAAAGGGUGAUGCUGUAUAUAUGAAGAUGGCUAUCAUGUGUUUGGCCUUAUUAGAGCCAGGAAAGAGAUUGCAUGUGUGCGAACUUUAGUUUGAGUAAUUAGUUGGGUAGUUUAGCCCCUUUCUCUUGUAAUCAGAUAUGCAGGGCUGAUGUUUCAUUGUCUAAUUAUCAAAUUUGGUUGGAUUCUUGGAAUUGUAUUACGAGUGUGACACUUAUUAUGGAUGCUAGAAUUGCUAAUUAUCUUAUGAUGCAGGUUAUAUAAUACAGCUAGUUUUCGUUUGAUUUU